GAGAAAGGUCCGCACGACAAGUGAAUCCUGCUAAAUUUCAUAUCCCUCGGUUGAACUCCGGG
rnacentral:tRNA from 1 species